AUGAGGACCUCGAGCCUUCUGCAGCAGAACCCUGCAGCUCCUUCCCUGUCCCCCCUGCAGCAACGUGGGGCUGGGAUGUAUGGCAGGGCCUGCAGUGCCUCUCCUGCUGCUGCCAGUGUCCGUGGGAUGGCUGUGGCUCCCGCUGAGGGCAGAACUCCGGCUGCAGAUCCCAGCUUGGAGGGCUCCAGACUUGCUGCUCCCCAUGCAGGGCUGGUGGAACACGGAGUGUGGAGCUGUUGGGGGCCAAAGUGGGGCAGAAGGAGCAGCUGCAGCUCUGUCUACACCGAAGAUGUGGCUGCUGGGUGUUGGGAGGGCACAGCGGGGACCUCCGAGGAGGAAGAGGAUGAUGGCAGCAGGCAGGAUGUGUCCCCAGGGUUGAUGAGGAGGGGGAGCCUGGAGUCGCUUGGAGCCAGGAUAUCCAGGCUGAGCCAGAGUGGGGCUGAGACCCCCUGCCCAGCCCCCUCUGAGCACCCAGCACAGGGCAGGGGGGAUGCAUCCCAUUGGGCACCACGCUCCAAGGCAAAGCCCUCAGUCACUGCUUUGCAUGGUGGGGAUGGGGACACUGGACAUCUCUGGACACCCUCAGGCAGCUCAGUCAGCAGGAGCAGGACCAGGGCCAUAGGACAUAGUGGAUGGCAGGAGCCACCAGCACAACGGGGGUGGCAUGGAGGGGAUGUCACCCUCACUGCGGAGAAGGAAGGAGAUGGCAACGAGCGGAGGAGGGCUCUUUGCACCAAAGCAGCAGCAGUGGGACCUGCUGGGAAAUGCAGCCCCCAGGCAGAGGGGCAGCACAGUGUGUCCUGCCCAGGGCAUGUGGCUGAGCCCCAGUGGCAGCGCUGGAAGCAGAAGGCCAUCCUGUCCCACAGGCUGGCAGCACUGAGCCGAGCCCUGCAGAGCAGCCAGGAGGGGAUGUGGGAGCCAAGAGCUGGAGCUCAGGGCAUGCAGAGCAAUGGGGAUGGGGCCAGGGCGUGUGCAUGGGAUUGCGUGGAGAAGGUGGGGUGGAAGGGCUGCGCUGAAUGCUGUGAGAAGAUGAGGAGGAAAACGCUGGAUCUCAGGGAAGAGAAGCAGGAGCUGAAGGAGGUGAAUGGAUGUCAGGAGAACUGUCACCUGAAGGAGCUGGCAGCCCCAGCAGCCCUGAAGGAGCCACUGACCACAGUGAGAGCCCUGCGGGUGGCAGGAGGUCCUGCCCCACAUCCAACACUGCCUGCAGGAGCUGCAAGUAGAGGACCUUGGUGUGCUGGGAGCAGAGCUGGGCACCACAGCAAGUAUAGAGGGGUUCCUGAUGCCACCUCUUGA
rnacentral:lncRNA from 1 species